UUGAAGCCAUCGUAAUCUCUCUCUUUUUCACGUCUCUCUCAAUCUCUCCUAUUUUUUCUCUCUCUCUCAAUCUCCCAUGUUUCCCUUCCAAUAGAUAUGUUUUCUCCUCGGCCGUAAGGUUUUCACCGAUGUUAAAAACCAGCCACCUGAAGGAAUCAUAGACUCUCUUUCUCUCAAGUCUCUCUCUCUCAAGCUCUCAUUUUUUUCUUCCAGCAAAUCAAUUUUCUCCCUUGGAUUGGAGGAAUCUUUCCAAGAAAAGUCCAACCGAUCAAAUUAACAAUAAGUACAUGGGGUUAGAUGCAUAUCUCCAAGCCCGAUCUGCUGAUCCACGCCGAUGCUCACCAUAUCUCGGAGCACGAUCUGCUUUCUAACACGAUCCACGCCGAUGCUCACCAUAUCUCAGAGAGCUUAUGGGAAAUCUGCUAUAUCUUUAACAAGUGAGGAAAAGUUAAAGAGAAAUUCUCUAGUAUCCUUGAGUUAAUUCCAGAUGAACCAUCAUGGACUAACGACCUAAGGAAUGAAUCGUUAUCUGGAAUUAGCGCCCCCGGAGACCAGACUCGACGGUGGUAAGAUUGGUAUGUCGCACAUGCCUCAUAAUUUCUAUUCUGAAAUAGAAGUGGAUGUUCCAGAAUAUAAUUUGUUCAGUGUAGUUGAUGGUCUAAUCUCUUAUGAACUUAUUUGUUCUAUAGUGGCUGCAACCGGUGGAUUAAGGAAAUAUAUGCUACUUAAGUUUUGUGUAAGUUUGUAUUUUAGAGUAAAGGUUUGGAUAAUUGUAGAAAAUUUGACGUCUUCUGUACCUUAUUACAUUCAUAGUUAUGACUCCAAGAGCUAUAGAAUUUCCAUGAAAAACACAUAGGCUGCAUUGUGUUUGUGAUGUUAUGACGUACCACCUUGCAGCGAUUCCACUUGGAUAAUACGGAAGAGCAUGCACCUAGAAACAACGUGUUUGUAUUCUUCCGAAAAUGCUAGCAACUAAAUGUGUCAUCUGUAUAUAGGUGGUUGGCAUAAUUACAUGACCAUACGUACAUCAUGUUGCCGUCUCUGCCUUCAUUUGUUAUGACAUAUAUUUGAGAAUGAAGUGUGCAGUUCAGUUUGUGGUUGUUAGUAAACAUCUAAAAUAUUAUAUGUUCACGCAA